ACAAUUCCUUACAUAUUAUUUUAUAUUUCCAAUAAUAUAAUUUUAUAUUUUCAGCAAUGAAAACGACAACAAUCCUAACCAAUUCCUUAGAGUGCGUUUGGUUCGCGUUAUGUAAAAUUACAGAUUAUUUCGACAUAUCUAGAUAUUUUGGAUUCUGACUGUAUUAGCGCGUUUGAUUUGAUGCAGUAAUGUAAUACUGGAUUACAGUAUAUAUAGCAUUACUGUUUGGUCAGUUUAUAAAAUUUAGUAAUAAUAAUAUAUCCUAAAAUUGCCUUUUCAUAUUUGGCAAAUUUUUUUAUUAUUGAAUAAUAAUAAUUUUUGUACUAAAUUUUAUUUUAAAUAAUAUAAAUUCAGUAAUGAAAAUGGCAACAAUCCUAAUCAAAUCCUUAAAUUAAUUAAUCGGUUGGGAAACGAAAAUCGUUGCAACGGCCGUUUCCCUAUGUGGUAGGUGCGCGCGAAAGAGGGCGAGGUGAGAAAUAGAAAUUAGUUUAGAAAAAAAAAAUAGAAAAAUAUAAGUAAAUCAACAACAAAUUAAAUUUCGUAGAAAUUAGGGGUAAAAAUAAAGGCAAAGAAAGGGACCGCGCAAUGAACUCCACCCCUCGUUCAAAGCAAGUAGAACAAUUCAAUCCCCUCCACCACGAAAAAUCCCCAAAUUCUCCCUCUUCUUCGAACCCCAACCCUUAGCCUAAUCCCCAGUUUCUCCCUUUUUGUGCGAUUUUUGUAUCAUCUCGAUCGCAAAGGUGAGUCUCUUUUCUCUGUUUCCGAUUCGUCGUGCCGUUAAGGUGCUCGACAAAAGGUUUCAGAGAGUUAUUAGCGCAUAAAGCGUUGAUUUUUAAUGGUUCUGUUAACUGGUGUGUUUCUGUUACCAUUUUUGUUCCAUUUAAUCCUUAUUUAUGGAUUCAGUGUUCAGUUUCAAUCGGUUAUUUGAUGCUUUAAGUGAUCAUAUUGAUCAUAUUGUUCGUUCCCUUUUUGAUCUAUUCCUUAUUUGGAAUUGGAUGGGUAGUUGUUUCUCCCCUAUUUUCUAAGUUAAUUUUUAAGUUAUUAUAUUUAUUUCUUCUCAGGAUCGGAGGCUAAAGGAACUCUAAGAGGUGUUAUUGUGGAUCAGAUAUAUCUAAAAAAGACCUCUGUUUGGUGAAUAAAAUGGCAAAAGUGUUGCAGCAUCAGGACUCUAAUGCAUCAUAUUGGAAGAGCUUUCAAGGUUGUACAUGGGGCUUGCUUCAAUUCUUCGACUUCCAACAACGUUUACAUGUUCGACGGAUGCUUUCGAACAGGCGACAUGCUGAUGAAAAAUACUCUGGAGGUAACUAUUGACCUUUUACCAUGAUUCUUUUUUUAAAAAAUUUUGAUUUUUCGUUAUAUUGGCACCUACUCGGGUCUUCAAUUUUGGUGAAAUUUGUGUUUGUUUGGUAGAUAACUGGGUUCUUGUUUCUCUCCAUAGGAGCUUAGCUAAUUUUAGCUCUUUACAUGAAAAUUCGGAGCAAAGAAACACAAAAUAUGAAUAAUAUUUUAAGGAAUUCAAAAUAUUGUUCUGAAGAAAAGAAUAAGCUGUAUGACCUUGUUUUUCUUUUUCUUUUAACUUUUCUCAGUAUAAAUUAAGUUACAUCACCGGUAGCAGCUUUUGAAGGUACUAGUAUAUUGAUCGUAAUUUCCGCUGCAGGAACAAAGCUUUCGGGGUCAUAUGUUUCUCUUACUGGCAAAGAUCAUGGCGACAUGGAUGAUGAAACAAAGUUCAAAGUAAGUUUAGUUAAUAUACUUCUUUAGCAUGCUUUGCAGUUUUGCUUUGAAUUGGAGUUGCUUCGUCGGUAUCAUAUUUGUGGUGUCGAGAAAUUUAGAUUUUCCCUGAAAUACUUGUGUGUUAUUCAUUGCACUUGUAUUGCUAUAUGCUCUUCUCUGGCCCUCAGGACUAAUUUCAGCGAGCCUUCAUUACAAUUAGUACAGUGGAUGUUAUAAUGUUUUAAAUUCCUCCAGGACUCGUUUACCUAUCAUAAAUUUGACAGAAACUAGUUUUCGGAACAUCUGUUUUUCUGGGGGGCGCAAAGUGUACUUAAUUUACCAAGAAUUUUCAGUUUCAUUGGGAGUGUAACAGAUCCUGUAUUUUAUGUAGCAACUUAUUUGACCUUUUCACUUGAUCAUGGACAGAUAUGGAAAUUGAAUGAUUGGAAUGUAUUUAAAUGAGGAAGGGUAAUGGACUUAUAAGCAUACCUAAAUGUAUAGCUGGCAAAAGAGGAAACUCUGCAGUUAUUUAUGUAAUCUAAGUUUUUUCUUGAAAUCAAAGUUCCUCAUUUGCAUGUGACAGUCUCAUUGGGCUAUCCUGCUUUUCCUUUUGGAUGUUCUGUACAUCACGUGCUAAUAAAAAUUGCCAGUUGUCUUAAUUAAUCAGCUUUCAAAAAAAGAAAAAGAAAAAGUUGUCUUAAUUAGUUGAUACAUUAAAAGCACUUCAACUCUGAUCAAAACUUUUUAACAUAAUAAAAUUUACUUUAUGGAUUAAUCGCUUGAUGUGCUCUCAUAUUGGCUCUAAUCCGUUUAUGGUUGUCCUUUUGGUUUCAGAUGAUAAAUAAAGGCAAUUACUUAAAGGGAAAUUCUUACAAGGCUCGCAUGAGGGCUUUAAUCUCUAAAAAGAUCCACAGGAAGAAAAAAAAUAUGCUCCCUGCAGGGCCGCGACUGCUGCGUACAGUUUCCAUUCAUCAUUGGGAGUGCGAUGACUAUGUUCUCCCCAAUCAAACAGUUUCUGAUAGAAGUGCUUCUACAAUUGAUUCUACUUCAUGCAAAACUUGUUCUUCUACAUGUUGUCAACACUCUCCGCUAUUGACCAAAGAUAUACUAGUCGAUUACUCAAAAGAAAAAUCAGCAGAAGGUUUAUCGAAGCAAAAGGAAAUGGAUUCUGAAGUUGAAAUAGAUUGUGUGUUAAAAUCAAAAGAUUUUCUCGAUGCGGAGGAGGAGCUCUUAAAUACACAUGGGGAAUUCUUUCCAGAAGUUUUUGCAGAUUCAGGACUUCAUUGGGAAAAUUAUUUAGGUUUUCCUUCUCCUCUCAAAGAAAAAGGCUUAGCAAGAUCUAGCUCAUUCCCAAGAGGCAGAACAAAUCAAAGGUCGUCAAAAGCUAAACAUAAGUCCUCAACUCAAUAUACCAUGAAAAGUGAGCCGAUUUCCGAGCAUUCACCAGAUUCUCCUCAUGAAUCUAUAAUUCAGAGGGAACCUAGAACUUUUGUUGAUCACGUUAAUGACCUCAAACAGAUGAUAAAGGAUGUCUUUGAUGCAAAAAGGAAGGUGGAGCAUCGAAUCUCAAUGGAUGGGGUUUUGGAUAGAGUUCCUUAUGGCCAAAAGGUUUCUGAUGACGAGAUUAAACCAAAGCUGUUUCGAUCUACCUCAGCAAGAUCAUAUAGAGAAACUUCAAGAGAUAGGUUUGAAAUACCUGCUAAUAGGAAUCCACAUGAAAGAAUGAGUAGGUCUCGCUCUCUUGCCGAAUCUGUGGAUAAGUACUCUCACUUGCUUGCAUCUGCUUCGCACAAAGAAGGUAACAAAUUACGUGACAGAUCAAUUUCAAACAAAGAAGGUUUUUCCCAGGACCUGAGGACUCGAAAUGCUUUUCAAAGAAUUGUUUCUACUCCUGAGUAUAGGUCAUAUCAUUUAAGUAUGGAUAUGGAUGCUGACAAUGAAGUACUUCAUGAAGCUUUAUCAUUGAAUAUCUCAACCACAAGUGUUUUGGAUGAGCGACAAGCAAUAGAUGAAGAUGCUACCGAGACAGUAGAAAAUGAGAAGAACAAUACAUGGGAGGUUUUCGAUUUGACCGAAGAGAAGGUGAUUGAUGUUCCUUCUACUGAUCAGGAGACCGAAGUUCUGGAACAGGGAGUGCUAAAUUUUGAUUAUGAGAAGAAUGAUAUUUGUGAGGUUUCAGAUUCAGUAAAUGAAGGCACGAGUAGUGCUCCUUGCAAUGAGCAGGAAAUUGAAAUUAAACUGGACUCAAACUUUGAUCCGAUGAAGCCGAGCCCAACAUCUGUUCUUGAAUUGAGCCCUUCAGACGAUUCUGUUAGUCCUGUGAAAUAUAAAAUUUUGGAAGGUAAUGUUUCUAAACAUAAAUGGCUUUGUAGAGAUAUUAAGUAUACCACCAUUAUAAAAACUGUAUGCAAUUUCAGUUUAUUACAACUAAUUCUUAUGUAAUUAUUCUAAGUGCAAGAUAUAGGUUGCCUUACUACUUUUAUGCUUUUUUAUCUCCAUCCUACUAUAUGAAUCUAUGAUAUCAGAUUGUUAUGGCGGUACGGAGAUGUACAUAGUUUUACUACGAACAUCAAACUUGACUUGUUUUUCUUUUCCUACUUAUAAGAACUGAAUCGCAUCUUUUAAUUGUGUGCUUUUUUCAACCAGAUUCAGACGUAAAUUGUAGAAGCCUUGAUUGCAAUGAGCUGGCUUCUUCAACAAAUUCAAAACUGUCGGACUUUGAAGCACCUUCUUGGGUGGAAACUACUGAACCAACUUGUGAUACUACACAGCAAAAGAACCCUGUUUAUUUCGAAGCACUUAAGAUUGGGCUGGAUCAAAUGAACAGGACUGAGUUCCAUUAUCUAAAACGUGUUCUUGAAAAGUAUUGCUUCAGCAGUGAAGAGUCUUUUGAAACUUGGUACUCUCUCAACCAACACGAUGCAGAUAUUUCAGCAUUCAUCUCCAAUAAUAUUUCUAUUGACGAAGAGCUUUUGGUUGAUCUCAUAAACGAAGCAUCAUACCAAAUUCACGAAAAACAUUCAACUCAGAACCUUUCUUUCUCUCCUGUUGCUUUUCGUCCUAGACGGAAGCCUGCGGGGUACCAUCUCCUUAAUGAGUUGUGGGCACGAAUUAGUUCGCAUCUUGAGCCACAAGUGAAGUCUAAUUACAUGCUUGAAAGUGUCGUGGCUCAGGACUUUGCAAAAAAUGACGGAUGGUUGGACCUUCAAUUGGAUGCUGAGGGCGUGGGGGUGGAAUUGGAAGGUGUCAUAUUGGAUGAUUUAAUCAAUCAGUUAAUUCUCGAUGUUGAUGAAUUCGCCCUUUCUCAGUUGAUAUACUCCGAGUAAGUACUCUACUAAGACACAUAUACAAUACACAAUUCUUUUCCACUCAAUUUUUUUGUAGUGCUCUGUAGUAUAAGCAAUGCUAUCAUUUACAUUCGUUCUGUAUAGACACCAACAAAUCAACACCUAAGGCAUUGUAGUAAUGUUGUAUAUAAGGUAAUGAAUAAAAGAGAAGAUGUAGUAGAUAGGUUGUGGUCAACCAAAGGUGUCUGUUGAGAUCUUGUGGCCCCUUUUUUCUCUGUAGUUGUUGGUGAGAUUUUUCUUAGAGGAGUUCUUGUAUAAGCAAUUAUUUUGGUGAAUAUAGUGAACUAAUAAUGUUUUGCCGCUUGAAUCCUUAAUUUGUUAUUUCUUUAGUUUCCUGUGUUGAUAGAGGUUGUCAGAUGGUUUGAUUGGUUUGGAUAUUUGGUGUGUCUUGUUCUUUUUUAUCAACUGUGGAGAUGCUGAUCUUGUUCUAAACUAUUCUGCUAAAAGCCACAACAACAAUGGUACAAUAUAUAUUCAGAUCACCAAUAAUUACAGCAAGAACAAAACCCACCUUUGAAAUGAUGAAACCUCUUGUUGUCUCUCACCACAAUAUCCCUCCCCACAACUUUCGACACCAGCUUCGCCGCAUUAUGGCAAUCCCUGCACAUCCUAAUGUUCUUAAAAACCCCAAUCUUUGUCCCUUUGCUGGUCUUUAAAAGCCCAAAUGCUAUGGCUUGCUUCUCACUGUGACACCUCAACACCUCAACCUUCUCUUCCUCCUCCAACUCAUGAAGCACUGAACUUGUAUCUGGAACAUAACCUAUUCUUCGUAUCUUUUCCUCCAAAACAUUCCACAUUUUCCGAAUCUCAGUCGACUCAGGAACCCUAGAAUCACCUGCGACAAAGCUAUAAACAUUACCACCAAUGUCAAUCCAGCUGCAACCUGGGUCUUUGAAGAGGCCAUUUUCCUUAAUUCUCUUUCUAAUUCUUCUUACAUCAUCCCACCUCCCAAAACCUGCAUAUAGAUUAGAAGCCAAAACAUAGUGUUCUGUUUUGCUAGGCUCUAACUCCAUCAGCUUCUCCGCAACUUUCUCUCCCAAGUUUAUGUCUCCAUGAAUUCUACAUGCACAAAGUAGUGUACUCCACAUUUUUCCGUCUGGCUCUUGGGGCAUUUCUUCGAUCAGUUUUACUGCAUCGGCCAAUCGACCGGCUCUACCAAGCAUGUCGGCUACGCACGCAUAGUGCUCUAAUUUUGGCUCCAACCCAUGAUUGGUUUUCAUCUCCUCGAAGUAAUUCAAUCCUUUUUCAACCAUUCCAGCAUGGCUGCAUGCCAUUAAUAAACCGACAUAUGUAAACUCAUCGGGCUUCAUCCCCUCUCUCUGCAUCUCAUUAUAUAGUUUGAUGGCUUCGUCGGCGUACCCAUUAACCCCGUAUCCUGUGAUCAUCACGGUCCACAAAACCACGUCUUUGUUUUGCAACCUGUCGAAGAAACUUCUAGCUUGUUCGACAUACCCACACUUUGCGUACAUGUCUAUGAUCGAGCUACCGAUAAAUGGGUCUUCAGUGAACUCCGCCUUCAAUGCGAAACAAUGAGCCUCUUUCCCUAAUCGGACAGCCGACAACUGAGUGCAAGCCAUGAAUGCGCUUGUCGUGGCAAUAAUCGAAGGACGGUUACUACUAAUUAGCAUUUUGCGGAAGAGAUUAAGGGAUUCCUCGGGCAACCCAUUCUGAGCAUACCCAGCAAUCAUAGCAUUCCAAGAAACCAAAUCCUUCUCCUCCGUUUCAUCGUAUAAUAACCUUGCAGUAGAUUCUUUUCCACAUUGUAUGUAAAGAGAUAGAAGAGAGAUGUUAAUGAAUGAAUCUUUCUCCAAACCAUUCCUUAAAACGAACCCAUGAGUCGAUUUCCCAUAUCGGAGAUGCUUCAUAUUAGCACAAGCUAAAAGCAAGCUGCCGAUAGUAAACCAAUCAGCUUCAAACCCUAAAGAAGACAUCUGAAGGAAUAGAUCUACUGCGAUGUUAGGAUCGCCAUUUUGGGCGUGACCGCCGAUUAGGGCAUUCCAUAAGCUCACGGUCUUAAUCUCAGUUCCAUUGAAUACGUCAUUGGCAUAAUCGAGCGACCCACACUUUGCGUAUGCUGCGAUUAGGGCAUUCGGUACCAACUCGUUGAUCUCCAACUCAUUUCUAAUCACAAAACAAUGAAUUUCUUUCAAUUUCGAAAGCUCUGAUCUGCUUGAAAAAGCCGGUAGGACAUUCAAGACCGUGACUUCAUUUGCAUUUAUUCCCUCCCCCGUUUGCAUUUCGCGCAAAAGAUUGAAUGUCUCAGCAAUAUCUCCAUUCCUCGCAUAGCCACCAAUCAUGGCAUUCCAAGAAACCACAUUUCGUCGAGCACUUUCAGAAAACAAGCACUCCGCGUCCGGUAAAUUACCGCAUUUCGCAUACAAAUCGAUCAACGCAUUGUUCACUCUCAGCUCAUGAUCCAAGUCCAAUUUCACUGAUAAUCCAUGAACCACCCUCCCCAUUUCAACCCAUCCUCCUACUGUGCACAUCGGAAGUACCGUCACCACCGUCGCAUCGUCCGGUCUCAUACCACCUUCGCCGAUCGCCAACAUCUCCCUAAACAAAUCAAAACCCUUAUGCAACAACCCAUUCUCAGAAAAAACGCAUAUCAUAGUAUUCCAAGAAACUAAAUUUCUGUCGGGCAUUUUGUCGAACACGCGAACCGCGUCGUCGACGGAACCGCACUUCCCGUACAUCGACAUCAACGAAUUGCUCACAAAAGUGUCCGCGCCCAACCCCAAUUUCACAGCUAAUCCAUGAACGGUUUCCCCAAGCCCCACAUCCAAAACCCCCGCGGAGGACUUUAACACGCAGGGCAGAGUAAAAGUAUCGGGCUUGAUAUCGGUGUCGGAGAUCAAUCGCACGAACACGUCGAGCGCUUCUCCAAAAAGCUCGUUUUUGGCGAGCCCGCUGAUCAUGGCGUUCCACUGGAACAGGUUCCGCCGCUCCAGGGCUUCGAAGACGCGGCGCGCGUCCGCGGCCGCGCCGCACGCGGCGUACAUGGUGAGGAGCCGCGUGGUGAGCACCGCGUUGCGCAGAAGCGCUUCCGAGGACGCGACGAGGCCGUGGACGCGGCGCCCCGCGUCGAGGUCCCGCGCCGCGGCGCAGGAUCGGAGGAGGCGGCCGAUGGCGUCCGCAUGCGACGCCGACGCCGCCGCCGCGUCGGGGCAGAGGAGGAGGAGUCGGAGGGCAUUUUCGACAUUUCCUUCGUCCGGGGCGGGGACUAGCUCUUUUGGGGAGGGUUUGGGGGACGUUUUGGUGGAGCGGAGGGAGAGGGUCGCCGCUGCGCCUGGGGUGGUUUUGGGGGUAGUUUUGGGGUAGGCGUAGCGUUGGGUGGGGGUGCGCUUCAGAAGAGGAGGGAGAGGGGAGGUGGAGAGUGUUGAAGCAGAAGCCAUUGUAGGAUAAGAACAGUUAUCUUCUUCAAAUUUUAUAAUUUUAUAUUUACGACGAUAAAUAAAAUAUUAAAAAAAAAACACUUUUUCUGAAGUAGCAAAAUAAACGAAAAAAAAAGCUUUUUUUCAAUUAAAAAAUUGGUGUUGGAUAAAUAGAGGCGUUAACGGGGCCAAAAAUUUCGUGAGCAUCGUUUCAAAUUAUUUGGGUUAGGAACGAUGCGAAUGAAUGUCGUGUGGCCCAUUCAACAGUUGCCCAUGAAAGGAAAAAUAAAAAUAAUAUCAUGUGUUUUCAGAGAGAGAGAGAGAGAGAGAGGGGCAAAAAUGAGGGUGACUGUUGGAUAGGUCACGCAGCAUCUAUCCUUAUCGUUUCGAAACUAAUAGUUUGGAAACGGUGCCCAAAAAAAUUGUCCAGUUCUUGGACUAUUCAUUUCACGAUAUACUUUUUGUUACACACUGUAGUCUUUAAAUAAUUAUUUCGUAUAUAUUAUAUAUUUAUUUUUGUUAUUAGGAAUUAAAACUAUAAAAUAACUUUUUAAUCUUGUGUUAUCAACAUUUGGAUUAUCAUUCAUCAAUGGUCAAAUUAAUCAUUUCUCAACAGAGCAAGAAAGAAAUUACUAGCUGGAUAGAAAAACUAUAUAUAUAUAUAUAUAUGUAAUAUAAAUUAUAUUUAAGAGUCAUCAUCUUGGGAGAAUGUUUACAUGAGAUAGUAACCUUAGAAAUAGAAAUGCGUAUUUAGAAAACAUAAGCCCCGUAAAUAGCUUAUAUAUAUUUAUAGAGCUUUAUAUCUUUCUCAUUUGCAGCAGCCAAAGGUGUCACAAUUGCAGUUUGGUCCACAUUUGCAGUUGGGUCCUCCACUCUCCAUCUCAAGCCCUUCAACAUGCCUGCGGAGUCGAAUUAGUCACGUAAAUAUCAAUUUUGACAGGGGUUUGUAAGUAAUUAAAAAUAAAUUGCAUGCACGUAAAAGAGUAUAUAUAUAUAUAUAGAGAGAGAGAGAGAGAGAGAGAGAGAGAGAGAGAGAGAGAGAGGUUUUGGUAGCAAAGCUCUCUCCUCCGCUGAACCCUGGGCGCAUGUUGCACCUGCAAUGUAAGUACGUAAUGAACAAAUUAAUUACUUAAUCAGCAUCUUUACAUAAACAUCCCUAUAGAUUGAAAAUAUCACAGUUUCCUCCCCCGCAGCAGCGGUUGCUGCAGCUGCAGCUCGAAUCAGCACAGCAAGAGCACUUCCCUCCACCGCAGGACAUUUUGUUUUCUGCGGUAUGGGGAUAAAAGAAUCUGUUGCUUAAUCUCUUCAUCGCACAAGCUUGAGUAGUAGUUGUGAUUUGUGAAGGGUUGUGCUCUCUAUUUAUAGAAGUAAUGAUAGUAACAAGAGAGAACCAAACUGAGUGCGUCACGUUCACGCACAUGCAACGACAAAAAUUUUGUAAGUAGCUCUUUUUUACGAGUUGGAUAUGUUCGAAAAAGAAAAGAAAAAAUUAAAGUAGCAUUUAGAUAAAGAGAUAUUCAUAUCAAUUACACUAGCAGUAAGCCAAUAAAUAAAAUAAAUAAUCAAUCAGAACGUAUUUCAAAGCAUUAGUGUUGAGGAAAUAUCUUUCUUUGAUUAUGUUGCUUAUGUUGGUCCCAUAGUGAAUUUUAUAUCCUUUUCUUUCGAAAGAAAUGAUAUGCCAUUAUAUUCUUUAAGAAUCGUGCUAAAUUGUAUUAAUAGUACUGUUACACUUUUUAUUUGAACGGCUGUGUGAGGCUAGCUCGUAAGCAUCUCCUUUUGACUCCAUCUUAAUUCUGACCUUGGAAAUUAGAAAAUUGAUCUCAUGUUUGGGAACUACUAGUGGAUUUUAUCCUUUUGUUUUUAAUUGAAGAAAAACACUUUCUUCAACAAAAAUAAUUAGAGACAUAAAAUUUGUCAAAAUCUCUAGUUAAUUUAAUAAAAUUUUUCAGUUUAAUUGAAUGAAACAAUACAAAUCAAAAUAAAUGGAAAUUAUGGGAAUGCCAAAGAAAAAAAGAAAGAAAUUUAGAAAAAAAAAAAGGACUCAAUUUUUUGCCUUGUUGUGCAUCAUCCGAGCACUCCUAAUUCCAAGUCAGGGUAUACACAAGUCUAAAGUGAAAGUGCAAGUCUCCUCCAUUAUCUUUAGUGGAACAUGAGACUUACUUUGCUGGGUCUUUAGAAUCCUUCUUCAAUCAACAGGUCAACUGAGAGGUCUUGCAAGUUAAACUGGUUUUAAAUCAUACAUAAUAAUGUUGCUCGAUCUCUCCUCCUCAAUCUAAACAAAUAAGAUAAUAAAUCGUUAUCAGUGCAUGUGCUAGCUCCCAUUAAUUAAGUCCAUGUCUACUCCAACCUACUACCUCCUCUCCCUCUUCCUCUUCCUCUUCUUCAACUUCCAUGCUGCCAAUCCUUCUCCUCCUCCUCCUCCUCCAUGCCCUACAGCCCAGAUCUCAUGUGGAGGUAUCACUUGGGCUAUUAAGCCUCCUUUCUUCACAAACAGUGCCACAACUUCAGACCUGCAGUGUCAGAAGCUUCACCUCAUCCAGUGUGUGUAUCAGAGACUACUGGUCCAAUUCUAUGGCACAGGAUUCUUCUAUAUUGUUACAAAUAUCUCAUAUUUUGAUCGGACAAUUCAAGUCGACGAGCUCAACCUUUACCCUAGCACAUGGAAUUCUAACUGUUCCUUCCUCUAUAGUUUCAAGAAUCCCACCCCUAUCAGUAAUCUUAGCCGACUCACUUCGCAUGUAAGCGCCGCCCUCUCAUCGUUCAGCUGCAGUAUGCUGGAGAAUGAAUACAAUAAUUACCAGGACAUCUUCGGCAGUCUCCUUGGUCCUCUUUCUUGCGAGAAUUACACCCUCUUCUUUUCCAAGUAUAUAGAUGCACAAAUUGUUUUCAUGUAAUGUACUUUUAUGAUUACAUUUACAUUACUAAACUAAACGCAUGCUUAAUUUUAUUGUUUGGAAUCUGAUAGAACCAUGCAAUUGAAAAUUAAAGGUUUCGCUCUGAUUUAGGGUCUAAAUAACUAAUCCGUAGUGCAAACUUUUUUUUAUAUAUUUAUCGAUCUGCAGAGAUAGAUAUGAAUUGUCGAUCUCUAUCAUUACGUAUUAAAUAUAAAAAGAAAAAUAGUCGGAUCCAACAUAUCGAAUCUUGAUAGGUGGCAGCAUAUGUAGGGAGUGGCACUAUAAUUUUUUUUUUUUUUUUUUCUCACAAAUGUUGAUUCAUAUAUAUUGCUUUACAUAAUAUCAAGCUUCUAGUUAAGCAUCCAUUGAAUUUGCUAUGGGCAUAAAUUAGUCGGAAUCAAAGCUUAUCUCCACAUGCAGUGGACUAGACAAUCUAUGGGGCCACCAUUAACAAAAGCUUAGUGUGAUUCUUCUAAAUAUCUUUUCAAAAAACAGCUUAAUAUUAUAUAUAAUGAUUGAUAAAUAAAUCAUUCAAAUAGAAGUAGUACAAAGUUCUAAAGAUGCAAAGAAAAAAUAUAUGGGUAAGUAAAAGAUACUCCAAUUUGGUAAUGGACAAUGAGAGAUAGGAAUAUGGUGUGGCUUAAAUGAACCUGCUUUUUAUCCUAUUUCGAGUAAAUCGAAAGCAAAGAAGCCAUCCUAUGGAAAAAGGAAAUUGAUCAUUCAUUAGAAAAAUUAAAGUUCAGAGGGAUGUAAUAAUAAUACGUUUAAGGAAUAUUACAGUGUUUAAGUUACAAAUUUGUACAGAGUAAUCGAGUCACGACGCUGAAAUAAAUAGGAACUAUUACUACAUUUUUUGCACUAUGUUUGGACACUAUUAUUUGAUUCUAAUAUUUGAUUCGAGACCGAAGAGAAAAGGUCUAUAAAGAGAAGUGUAAUUUGUCGGGCUCAAACCAUGCACUGACCCAUGAUGACAAAUUAUCAUAUGCUUUUACCACUAUGGCUACUAAUUAAUGAUUGGCUCUAAUGGAUAAUAAUUGUUAGGGGAUGUUGAUAUGCCGCAUAUAUAUCCGAUUAUACAGUACAACCUAACUACUACUGUUAACAGUGUUACUACGAAUUUUGGAGGAUGGCAUUUACUAUGCAUGAGGAAUUCAAUUAAUACUUUCUUUCUUUCUUUUGUGUCACGCAUCAUUGCAUAUAUAUGUUGAAUAUAUAAAUAUUAAAACUUAUUUUUUGGUAACUCAAGCAUUUACAUAUUAGAAGCAAAAGUUUUGAACUCGAGUUUUGUCAGAUUCUUAACUUUAUUUAGUUUUCUCCCAUUUCAUUCAAAUUUACGUCAUCAACUUAACAUAAAGCCUUUAGUCCAUGCUUGAGGAGCGUGUUGAGCCUAUUUGAAAAAAUCUCGGAUCCAAAUGCAUAGCGCAAUGUUAAAUAUAAAUAUUAUAAAUACUCUUCUCUGGCAACAAUAAUAGGAAUAACUAAUCCAAGUAAAAAAUGAUCGUCUAUUAUUAUACCACCUAUACGUGGCCACACAAGAUACUUAAUCUUUUAUAUAUAUCAACAAAAACAUACAUACAUAUUAAAAGCCAUUUAAUAUAUAUCAAGGAGAAUGAUACAGGAUUGGAAAAAGUAACACAGGAUACAGCACUUUUCUCCGCUUAUUUUAUAACCAUAACCAUUCAUACAUUAUAACAUUAGAACCAGAGACCCAUCACUAUAGCAAAUAUAUAUAUAUAUAUGUCUCCCCAUAGUUUAGCUCGCAUAAACAUAUUUAUUUAUAGCAAAUAUAUAUAUAUGUCUCCCCAUAGUUUAGCUCGCAUGAACAUAUUUAUUUAUGCGCCCUUAUUUGCAUCCGCAGCAACUGCAGUUGCAGUUGGGGCCGCACGUGCUGCUGCACCCUCCUUUGUCACACUCCCCACUCGCCACCUCAAACGAUUCAAAUUUCCUGCAAAUUAAAUUCAAAAAAAAUCUCAUGCAUUUGAUUUGGUACAUAAUAAUUGUUAUCGAAAAUAUACAUCCAAAAAAAGAUAAGUUAAGAAAUAUUAUUAAAACUCUCGGUCACAUAUAUGAUGAAUAUCAGAUAAAUCAUAUUACGUGUAUCGACAGAAAAGAUAACAGAUUAAUUCGAUAAUAAGAUUCAGUACCCCUUCUGGGGAGCAGCAACGAAGAUCAUGGUUUGGGUGGUGACCAUCCCCUCUCCACUCAAAUGAGGGUACAUUUUGCACCUGCAUCCACACAAGAUCAAAAAGGAUAACAAAUUUCAAGUUAUAAUUAAUUAAUUAAGCGUAAAUGCAAAUCUGUUCGUAUAAGAAUAAAUAUUUGCAAACAGACCCUCCGCAUCCGCUGCCACAAUUGCAACCAGAGCCACAACCACAGUUCCCUCCGCAGCAGGACAUUUUCUCUUAAGAGCUUUUGCUUCAGAAUUAAAUAUGAAAACUAUUACAAAGGAUUUGGAUCUCUUAAACUUAAAGCUUGUGUGGAUAUUGAGACCAAGCCAACCUAUUUAUAGAGGAAUAGGAGAGAGAGAGAGAGAAUUGUGAACCGUACACGUGUCAGAAUCUGUCCCUUUAGAAACUAAAAUUAUAAAUGCCCUCAAUAAAUGAUGUUCAAAGGUAUUUAUAUAUCUCUUUGUUUGAGUCCAAAAUUUUUUAACAUGGCAUCGAAAUUUAGUUCACAUAGUUUAAUUUGUUAUCUCAUGCACCUUGAAGGUGAGUUUGCUCUCGUGCUAUGCGUGCGCAUGUUUUGAGUUGAUUCGAAGGUUUUUAAUUAACAUCAAUAAUAAUUUGAUCUCAAAUAUUUAAAAAGACUAAUUGCUUGUUAUAUUAGUGGCAUAUAUUUUCUAUUUAGACUAUGUUUGAUAUUGCAAAAAAUUUAUGUUUGGUGCGGUGAAAAGAUAUAAUAAAAAAAUUAUUAAAUUUUUAUGUCGUCCGAUCAGAAACAGAAAAAAAUAGUUCUCUAUAUGCUUUAGUACCGAUUCUGUUUUGUCAACUAGUAAUAGAUGAGUUUCAAUAUCAAACGGGUCCUUAGGCAAAUAUAUCACAUCUUGAUUUCGAGUUUCUCGUAAUAAGUUUUGUCGUGACCUGAAUUUUCACCUAAAUUUGAUUAGGCAUUAGAGUAUGAAUUGAGCACUCUAAAACCACACCAAAAGAAAGAUUGAAAUAUAAGAAACCAACUUUUCAAAGCAAUAGCAUCAUAAUAAAGGAUCGCUCAAAUCACACUUUUUUUAGAUGCUUUUUUUUUUUUUUCUUUUGCAGCUCAUCUUUAUCAAAGAAUGGAUAUGAGGAGUUAAGGGACCACCACUUUUUUUUUAAAAAAAAAAAAACUAUAGGGUAGGGUUUCCAUAGAAGGAAAAAGGAUCAUGAUAGGGGAGAUCACACAACACCCCACCUCAUGAAAAAUUGUUUACUGCACGAAAUUUACCCGGUGCAAGUAAUAAAUUCUCUUAAGACUUAUUUGGUUUACGAUAUUUAAAUUUUUUAAUUUUUUAAAAUUAUUAUCAUCAAAAUUAUUUUUUUUUUUUUGAGAAAGUAUUAUCCUCAAAAUUAUUACACCAGAGGAAAACUGAAAAGUUCCCUUUUUGGGUAGUCAAAAAAUAGACUUGUGAAAGAGGGCCUAAAUUGUGCUAGGCCCAAUAGGACAAAGCGGGCCUAACAACGGCCCAUGAUUAAAUGGGCCCGAUAACAAAUUUCCGAGCCCAUGUAAUAUUGACACGUGGACUCGUGGGCCCACAUUUCAAUCAACGGCCCGCGCGCACGAUCAACAGCAUCUGACGGUGGAGGUUCCUUCAACAUCGAUGGAGUUUGGUGGGGCCCAACUCACGGCCUACCUAUUUAGAACCCGGCCCAACAAUACAACAUGGAUUCGGCCCGGGCCAAUGCGUAAUAUGCGAUUUUUUUUUUUUUUUUUUUAAUUCUCUCCUCCUAGUUGUUUUCACUGGUAUCUCUCCGACAAGGGAUCGUUCAAAGGAAGGAGCAGUGAAUGAACCCUAAUUUACGUUUUACGGAUUCGUCCUCUCCCCCCCUUUCGUCUGAUGCUCGUCGAGCCCUAACGAUCUGAUCGGCGAUCCCCUUCUCCAGGUUCGAACCCUAAUCCAAUCCGAUUGUACGAUUUCAUAGGGUUUCUCUUUGAUCCCAACGAGCUCAAUCGCUCAUCUAUGCAAAUUUUUGUCCAUUUCUGUGUGCAAUCAUUGUGAUUGUUGGCGCUUUUGUUUGCUGCAGCAGAUAUCGACCUCGUCGUUUAGAUUUUUUAGCUCACGAGGGUUUUUGCGGUGUAAUUGUUGGUGAAAUAGCCGAUGCAUGAUUUUGUAGAUGCCUAAAAGAUGAUGAGCUUAGCUAGGGUUCGUUACAAGGAUUGACAACACAAAACCCUAAUUGUUUUUCCUGAUUAGUGUUUACGAGUAUCGAAUUUAGCACUGGGAAGAUGCUCCUCGGCACAUCCGUUCAGGUUUUUGCAUCUAAACCCUUGUUAGUACCAACACCGUUGACCUCCCCGGCAAGCCAAUUUCAGAACUUUGGCCCUCAUCUUCCCCCAAAACCCUCGAAGAGGAAACUUAUUACUCCGAUAAAGGCAAGUUCUUCUGGUUCUAGCCAUAACCCAUCACCUUCCCGAAAAGGAAACAACCCGCUUACACUCAUUCUCGAUGUGCCGAAGGCUUUGUGGCGGCAGACCUUACAGCCGCUAAGUGAUUUUGGGUUUGGUCGGCAGAGCAUAUGGGAAGGAGGGGUUGGGCUUUUUAUGGUGUCGGGGGCGGCUCUUCUUGCUCUCACUAUAGCAUGGCUAAGAGGAUUUCAGCUGAGAUCGAGGUUCAGGAAAUAUCAGACGGUUUUUGAGUUCUCCCAGGCUUGUGGGAUUUGUGUGGGAACGCCUGUUAGGAUUCGCGGUGUGACGGUGGGAAGUGUGGUUCAGGUUGACUCGUCGCUAAAGAGUGUUGAUGCAAUUGUUGAGGUGAGCGUUUGUACUUUAGAUUCUAUGGAAAAUAAUUUAUUAAUCUAAGUGCAUUUUUUAUGACUAUUCUGGAUAUAUUAUUAACAUAUGAUUUUGCUGUCGAGAAGUUGUUUUAGCGUAGUUAUUCUGCAUUUUCCCAGGACUUGAAUGUGUUCAAUGUUAUGUUGCAGAAGUGUACAUUUCACCUUAUAUCCCCAUUAUUUUACAUAUAGUGGCUACAUUUAACCUUUAUUUUUCCUGCUCAACAUAUUCAACAUUGAGCAGGUGGUGAGGUAGCUUCUUUUUUUUUUUGGUUUUUUGAUUUCAGGUAUUCAUUGAUAUGCAUCAAUUUCGAGAAAAACAUUUGUAGUCAUUAUUGGUGCCUAGGACUUGAAUGUUUUCACUAGUACAUUGCAUAAGUCUGAAGUUAACCUUGCAUGUCCAUGUUUCUUAUUGCUUUAUGGGAGCAGUAAUUCACAAAGAGCGACUGUUAUUUGUUGAAUGAAGAUGUAAACUUUUGAAUGUUAUUUAAUUUUUGUUCUGCAACUUCUGCAGAUGCGUUCCUAGUAAUGCUAAACAUGUAAUUUAAGCAGCGGUUUAUUUCCUUUUUUUCUUUUGUGUUGCUUUCGAAGCUGUUCAGAAGCUUUACCGUUACCAAAGUGGAUGUAACUUGUAAGGAAUGCAAAGCUUGCCAUAUGUUGUGUACAAAUAUUAUGAUAUUGAAGAAGUUGAUAUGCUUUAAUUUUCCAUAUUGAGGAUGAAUAAGGAAUCAUGAAUUCAUGAUUAUUAGAAUUUUUAGAUGCAUAAAUUUAAACCGUCAACAUUUGUCACUUUUUGGUUUUUUAGUUAGGAUAAGAUGGAGCUAGUGUCCCAAUUGAUACUUUAUUUGGCAGGUUGAGGAUGAUAAAUUCAUUGUACCUCGAAAUUCGUUGAUUGAGGUGAAUCAAUCGGGCCUUCUGAUGGAGACUAAAAUUGAUAUUACUUCAAGAGAUCCGCUUCCCACGCCUUCUGUUGGCCCGCUUGACCCAGCUUGUGUUAAAGAAGGUCUUAUCGUCUGCGACAAGGAAAGAAUGAAAGGACAGCAAGGGGUUAGCUUGGAUGAAUUAGUUGGAAUAUUCACCCGUCUUGGACGAGAUAUGGAGGAAAUUGGUGUUACCAGAAGUUAUAGAUUGGCUGAGAAAGUUGCUUCCAUGAUGGAGGAAGCGCAGCCUCUCAUCGCAAAGGUGCGGAGAGUUCUCCAGUUUCUUGGUUCAUCAUAUUUUUGCUUUAUUUUAAACAAUUCAUGCAAACACUAUCUGAACUAUACUUCAUUUUGAAAUGGCUAUAUUUAAACUUACAAGGUAUCGAUUUCAACCUAGCUUCUUCUUUUAUUAGUAUUAUUAUUUUUGUAUUUUUCUUUUUCAAAUUUGUACCUCUCUGUAUUGCUUUCGCUUCCUCUCUGAGAAUUAAAGUACAUUCAGUUCUCCUUUACUGGACUCGAAAUUUUUGUGCAUCUAAACUCCAAUAUUAGAGCCCAAAGAACAUCUGUUUCCUCUUAAUGUCUUCUUUACUUCGUCUGUUACUUUAAUUUUGCUUAGUACGUCUUUUGAAUUCACUCUAAAUCUUUGCAGUUCCUGAAUUUUUUUUUUUUUUAAAGAUUAAAUCAUGUUGAGCUAUAUAACAUGUGUUUGAUACACAUGCUUACAUGCAUAGUAGUUUGCUUUAGUGAUGUAACAGAUUGAAGCCUUAGCUGAAGAUAUUCAACCUUUGCUUGCUGAGGUUCGCGAUAGUGCUCUUCUAAAGGAUGUGGAGAGCUUAACCAAAACUCUAGCCGAAACAACCAAUGAUUUGAGGUCAGUAUUAUAUCUAUGAUAUAUUCAUUAUGUGUAUAACAUUUGAAAAAUAUGGAAGGAAACUUCUUUGCUUGAAAUGUUUUCUAUAUGUGUUAUCGUACAGAAAGGUGCAAUCUUCCAUUCUUACCCCCGAGAAUUCUGAUCUGGUUAGGCAGUCUAUUUUCGCCCUUAUAUUCACACUGAAAAACAUCGAGGUUAGCUGUUUUACUUUUUUUUUUUCCAACGUCAAAAUAGAAGCAAAAUUUUAUCAAAUUCUUACCGAGUUCAUAAUAAUCAUAGAGUAUCACCUCCGAUGUAUCUGGUUUCACGGGUGAUGAGGCUACAAGGCGGAACUUGAAGCUGCUUAUUAAGUCUCUCAGCAGACUUCUGUAGUCAUUGCAGGUUAGUCAAUCUAUGAAGCAGUGAACGAUUUUGUGAAGUGAUACCUCAGAUAUAUUUUUUAUUUUCAAUUGAAGAUAAGGGUAAUUAUUUUCAGAUUGUUUCUUCGUUAAAUUUUGUACUUAAAUGUGUUCUUUCAUAUUGUUUUCUUUAGAAGAUUUCCAUGCAUCUAAGCCCCAUGAAAUCAAGCGCUGUGUUGCUUAUGCUGUUUAAGCUUUUGCCGAGAGAAUUCGGUAUAAUAAGUUUCAUACAGAUUUUGCUUUGGGAUGCUCUGAUCGAGAGCGCCGUGGACCGAUGAAUCAUUUUGUUUGUUUUUAAAGUCAAUCUUUUGUUGCGAAGAAAUAUUUAGCUGUAAAUUUAAAGCAUUUUUGUGGGGUUGGGGCAUCCUAACUGUUUGAUUUUGGUUUUGUUUGGCUCAUCAGAGGACGUUUGAUCGAUCUGUUUGUGAUGGAUAUCAAUCAUUCUGUGCGUGUUCGUGAAGUAAAAGUGUGAUAAUGUAUUGUAUGUCAGAGUUUUAGGGCCCAUUUUGUGGGGUCCAUUUCGUCGCAUUCGGCCCGAUUUUUUUAGAGUCGGGCCCGAAAGGUAUCUUUCGGGUCCAGUACGACUCGACUGGGCCUCUGGACCAAAUGUAACACUGCGCACGUGACCGGCACGUGCUUCGUUAAUAACUCGGCUAGAUAAUAUUUUUCCUUGUUCAAUAAUAAAUCGACUAUUGGAAAAAAAAAAAAAAAAUUGGAUUGUUGAAUUCUCUUUUCUAUGAAAAUGUUUCUUAUUACGGUCUAUUUGGUUGACGGUAUUUUUUAAAAGGCCUAGAGAUGGGGCGGCUGAUUGCGAAAUUUUAUAUUUCUUUUAUCACAGAAAUUUAACAUAGCAUGAAUUAAAAUUUUUUGCGUAUACAAUCCGUUAAAUCUUGAGAUUUGAAAAUUCACUUCUUUCCUCGAUAAAUAAAGUUAUGAAUACUUUAAAAUUUAUAAAUAAUUAAAUAUGUUAUAUUUGCAUACUCAUGCUUACUAUAUCACUAAUUUUGUGUAAAAGGAUUUUAUUAUUCUAGUCUCUAUAAAGAAAAAGAUGUAGUAGUAAUUCUACUGUGAAAUUUAAGUUUCGUGAGCCAAGCAUGUCCUGACAUAUUGAGCAAUCCAAACUAGUUUGAUUUACUUCCUUUGUGCAAACAAAAUUAACUACUUAAAUAACGAUCUACAAUCUUUGGCUAUAAUUUAAAUUCUAAAACUCUUUAUUUUUUGGAAGCUAUUCAACGUAAAAUCACCCAUUCUAAGUUUACUUUAGAGCCAGAAUUAUUAUUUUUUUACAUAUAAAUAAAUAACAAGUUGAUUUUAUAAAAUUUCAAUGUUUCAUUUCAUCUUUAAACAACCAUAAAUUUGGACCUUUGAACAUAAAAAAUGACAUGAAAAUUUGGUCGAAAAAAAAAUCGUAUUUCCUAUCAAUUAACAAUUUAGGCCGGGGAAAAAGCCCAUAUACACAGUCCAGUAGUCAAUAGAUUCGGGCCCAAAUCGAUAGGAUCGAGCGUUGGUCCUGUAUUGGGCCGGGCCAUAUUUUUAUAGGUAGUUCAAAGCAGGCCUAUAUUGCCACGGGAGUCCGCUCACCGCCAAGUGAGCUCACCCCCUAUUCAAUUUCAUCUCUUUUGAUGCAAAAUAAUUUUUUUGGCGGAGUUUUAAUAAAAACACUACGAGGUUACGCUUACCGUGCGGUGACCGUAUCGCCGAGUGGUCUACAGUUCCGUUUGAGUUCGACUCACCGCGCCUCGGCUCGAGUGAGCUGAGACCCAAAAUAACCAUUUUAAUUUUAAAAUUUUUUAAGCCAUGUUUAUUUUAACUUUUUUAACAAAGUUUCCUAAUAGUAUGCUACUUUAAAUCAGCCAUGUAUCUUAUAAUUUUGUUAAUUUCAAUUAGCAUUUGAAUGAAAUUUACGAGUCGGUCAUUCUUAAAAUAUUUUUAUUCAAAAUUCAAAAUUUUUUUAAUAUUUUUUAUAAUAAAAUAUUUUCUUAUUGCAGCGCAAAUUUUCUUCCUCAUCACAUCACAUGAUGUAAACAAUUAAAUUGUAGAUUUUACUAGUGCUACCGAACGGUUGACAAACUUCUUCAUUUUAAUAAUUUUUAACAUAAUUUAAGGAAUAAUAUGAAAGGACAAAUAAUCUUCAUUAAAAGCCUCACCAUCUUGCAAGGCAUCAUCACACGAAAGAGAUUAACAUUAAUUAGUAAAACAAGUAAUUUUAUUAUAAAAUUUAAGUUUCGUGCGCUAUAUGAUAUUGAGCAAUCCAAACUUUCUUUCUGCAAACAAAAUUAACUAUUUAAAUUACGAUCUACGAUCUUUCGUUACAAUUUAAAAAUUUGUAAUUCUUACUUUUUGAAAGCUAUUCGAUGUAACAAUCCGUUCUAACUUUACUUUUGAGCUCGAAUUCUUUUUUUUUUUUUUAUAAAUAAUGAGUUGAUUUUAUUUUCAAUUUGUUUCAUAUCAUCUUUGAGCAAUGGUAAAUAUAGACCCUUUAUUAUGAAAAAUGAGACGAAAAUUUGCGUAAAAAUAUCGUAAAUUUUUUUUUUUUUAACUCCUAUCAAUUAGGAUUUGGGCCGGAGAAAAGCCCACGCACGGUCCAGUAGUUAAUAGAUUUAGCCCAAAUCGGUUAGUAUCGAGUUUUUGUCGCAUAUUGGGCCGGGAUAUAUUUGUCAUGAGUCCAGUCACCGCCCAGUGAGCUUACUGCCCCUGCAGUUUCGUCUCUUUCUCUGUAAAAUAAUUUUUUGGUGGAGUUUUCGUCAGAAAACCCCGAGGUUAAAAUUACCGCGCGGUGAGCGUAUCGCUGUUGGCAGUUCGAGGAGCCGGAAUUCAAAAUAACCAUUUUAAUUUUAAUUUUAAUUUUAAUUUUUUACCCAAAAUAAUCAUUUUGACUUUAGAAUUUUUUUAGUCAUUUAUAUUUUAUUUUAUUUUUUUUAACAAAAUUUUCAAGUUGUAUGUGACUUUAAAUCAACCAUUUAUCUAAUACUUUUGUUAAUAUAUAUAUAUAUAGUAAGGUUAUUGUACUCUUAUGAAUAUAUAACUAUUUAUACUCAUAAAUUGCUGUUGUACUUUUAUGAAUAUAGACCUCUUUAUACUCAUAAAUUUUCAACCGUUGGAUGAAAAAAUAUGUGGCUAGGAUGAUAGUGAUCCUCUAAGGUUGAAUGGGUGGUUAGUUGAAUAGUAUAAUCUAACGGAUGGAAAUAAUCAAAGAAGUAGAUCUAACGGCUAAAAAUUUAUGAAUACAAAAAAAUCUAACUCAUAUGAAUAUAAUAGCCGGACUAUAUAUAUAUAUAUAGUCCCAUCAUUUUGAGGCUACUCGUUCACUAGACAAACGAAAUCAAAAAAUUAUGAAAAUUAGUUUCUAGAUAGUUCCAAUAGCGUAGAUCAAGUUAACGAAACCGAUCGCCGAAUCGGAUGUCCCAUCAUCGAAAACAACUUACAAGCACGGGGCCUCCCAUACUUUCGAAAGCAUAGGAGCCUAACUCUAUAUAUAUAUAUAUAUAGUGGGCUGGUAUGCUUAUGGAAGCACGGAGCCAUCCGUACUUCCAAGUUGUUUUCGAUGUUCGGACUUUCGAAUCGACGAUCGGCUCCGUUAGAGUUGAUCUAGAGUAUUUGAAGUAUCUAGAAAAUAAAUUUUGUGAUUUUUCGAUAUCAUUUGCCUAGUGAUCGAAGGGGCACAAAAUCAAUAAUUUUAAGGGCCGUGGUGAGCCGGGUUGUAAGUUUAACGGUGCAGAAAUAUCCAAAUCAUAUGAAAUUUUGAUAGAAAAUUCUUUAUACCAUAUAAAACAAGAUCAAUAAUUUUGAUCUAAAAUUUUAAUGUCAUAUCAUCAUAUUUUGUAAGAUUUUUAUUUUCAGCCGUUGAUUUUGAGCCACUUCGAUCACUAGGCAAAUGAUAUCGAAAAAUUACAAAAUUUAUUUUCUAAAUACUUCAAAUACUCAAGAUCAAGUCUAACGGAGCCGAUCGUCGAUUCGAAAGUCCGAACAUCGAAAACAACUUGGAAGCACGGAGGGCUCCGUGCUUCCAUAAGCAUACCAGCCCACUCUAUAUAUAUAUAUAUAUAUAUAUAUAUAUAUAUAUAUAUAUAUAUAUAUAUAUAUAUAUAUAUAUAUAUAACAUCGAGUGCUUAGUACUAUUAAUAGUAUAAUAGCCUAAUUCUCAAAAUAGUUUUAUUCAAAAUUCAUAACUCUCGAAUGUUUUUUCACUUUAAAAUAUUUUUUAUGGCAGCGUAAUUGUGCUUCCUCAUCCCAUGAAGUUAAACAAUCUACAAAAAAGAAGGGCUAAUCAACUAUCCUAAAAGUACGUUCCGAUAGGAAUGACGUAUCCAUCGUACUUAAGUGGUCAAUCACAAUGCUCACGAAUUUCGACCUGGCUAAACUCAUCUGGACGUUAGAUCUAUUGUUUGAUCUCUCGCCGUUAUGUUUCUUGUAGACUGUAGCCCCACUCAACUUAUUAAAUCCAUCCAGCUCAACUUAUUAGCCUCCUGGGUCUAUUGUCACGAGAUUAAACUUAUUUUAGCCCAAUAAUAAAUAGCCAACAAGAUUAAAGCAUGGUAUGUUUCCAUUUAGAUCGCCACCCCACCACCUCUUCUAAACAUUCAAUUGUACAGAUUCAAAAUAGAAACACCAUAGUUUUUUGUUAUACCAUAGUUUUUCUUUGUACCAUAGAAACACCAUAGUUUUCUAUCAACUGAAAAUAUGUUUUAAAAAAAAUUGAUUUUACUUAAUCGUUGUUAAAUCUAAAAAAAAUUAUUUGGUUGAUGAAAAUAACUUAAUUAACAAAUUUUUUUUAAAAAAAUCAAAGUUGAUAGGUAUCAAUCCCAAAAAAAAAAAAAAAACCCACUAGUUGAGGGGUCCUAUUCCAACAUGGCGAGGGUCCCUAUUCAUCUCCAACUGCUUGAAAAAAGAUGAAGUCUUUGUACUAGUAGGUUCCAUCUUAAUUGUUUAUUGGUAAUUCUGAUUCAAUUACGUAACUGCUAUUACAACCAUUGCUCUGAUAUAGAGGGACCAACCUCUAAAUACAGUAUAUCCUUUUUAAGCCCAGAUUCAUAGUUUGCGCUUUGUGCUGGAUACAAGAGAAUUACUUUUAUUCCAGAGAAAACUCNNNNNNNNNNNNNNNNNNNNNNNNNNNNNNNNNNNNNNNNNNNNNNNNNNNNNNNNNNNNNNNNNNNNNNNNNNNNNNNNNNNNNNNNNNNNNNNNNNNNAUGUGUGGUUGGUAAACAAGGAUCGAUUUUUUAGCAAGGUACGAAAUGUAUCGUCAAAUAUUCAAUACGAUUCCACAAGAUCUAGUUUCGUUCAAGUAACGGAUUCUAGCCAAUUGAAAGGAUCUUCUGAUCAAUUCAGAGAUCAUUUCGAUUCCAUUAGUAAUGAGGAUUCGGAAUAUCACACAUUGAUCAAUCAAAGAGAGAUUCAACAACUAAAAGAAAGAUCGAUUCUUUGGGAUCCUUCCUUUCUUCAAACGGAACGAACAGAGAUAGAAUCAGACCAAUUCCCUAAAUGCCUUUCUGGAUAUUCCUCAAUGCCCCGGCUAUUCACGGAACGUGAGAAGCGGAUGAAUAAUCAUCUGCUUCCGGAAGAAAUCGAAGAAUUUCUUGGGAAUCCUACAAGACCCAUUCGUUCUUUUUUCUCUGACAGAUGGUCAGAACUUCAUCUGGGUUCGAAUCCUACUGAGAGGUCCACUAGGGAUCAGAAAUUGUUGAAGAAAGAACAAGAUGUUUCUUUUGUCCCUUCCCGGCGAUCGGAAAAUAAAGAAAUAGUUAAUAUAUUCAAGAUAAUUACGUAUUUACAAAAUACCGUCUCAAUUCAUCCUAUUUCAUCAGAUCUGGGAUGUGAUAUGGUUCCGAAGGAUGAAUCGGAUAUGGACAGUUCCAAUAAGAUUUCAUUCUUGAACAAAAAUCCAUUUUUUGAUUUAUUUCAUCUAUUCCAUGACCGGAACAGGGGGGGAUCCACGUUACACCACGAUUUUGAAUCAGAAGAGAGAUUUCAAGAAAUGGCAGAUCUAUUCACUCUAUCAAUAACCGAGCCGGAUCUGGUGUAUCAUAAGGGAUUUGCCUUUUCUAUUGAUUCCUACGGAUUGGAUCAAAAACAAUUCUUGAAUGAGGUAUUCAACUCCAGGGAUGAAUCGAAAAAGAAAUCUUUAUUGGUUCUACCUCCUAUUUUUUAUGAAGAAAAUGAAUCUUUUUAUCGAAGGAUCAGAAAAAAAUGGGUCCGGAUCUCCUGCGGGAAUGAUUUGGAAGAUCCAAAACCAAAAAGAGUGGUAUUUGCUAGCAACAACAUAAUGGAGGCAGUCAAUCAAUAUAGAUUGAUCCGAAAUCUGAUUCAAAUCCAAUAUAGCACCUAUGGGUACAUAAGAAAUGUAUUGAAUCGAUUCUUUUUAAUGAAUAGAUCCGAUCGCAACUUCGAAUAUGGAAUUCAAAGGGAUCAAAUAGGAAAUGAUACUCUGAAUCAUAGAACUAUAAUGAAAUAUACGAUCAACCAACAUUUAUCGAAUUUGAAAAAGAGUCAGAAGAAAUGGUUCGAUCCUCUUAUUUUUCUUUCUCGAACCGAGAGAUCCAUAAAUCGGGAUCCUAAUGCAUAUAGAUACAAAUGGUCCAAUGGGAGCAAGAAUUUCCAGGAGCAUUUGGAACAUUUCGUUUCUGAGCAGAAGAGCCGUUUUCAAGUAGUGUUCGAUCGAUUACGUAUUAAUCAAUAUUCGAUUGAUUGGUCUGAGGUUAUUGACAAAAAAGAUUUGUCUAAGUCACUUCGUUUCUUUUUGUCCAAGUUACUUCUUUUUUUGUCCAAGUUACUUCUCUUUUUGUCUAACUCACUUCCUUUUUUCUUUGUGAGUUUCGAGAAUAUCCCCAUUCAUAGGUCUGAGAUCCACAUCUAUGAAUUGAAAGGUCCGAACGAUCAACUCUGCAAUCAGUUGUUAGAAUCAAUAGGUCUUCAAAUCGUUCAUUUGAAAAAAUUGAAACCUUUCUUAUUGGAUGAUCAUAAUACUUCUCAAAAAUCGAAAUUCUUGAUCAAUGGAGGAACAAUAUCACCAUUUUUGUUCAAUAAGAUACCAAAGUGGAUGAUUGACUCAUUCCAUACUAGAAAGAAUCGCAGGAAAUCUUUUGAUAACACGGAUUCCUAUUUCUCAAUGAUAUCCCACGAUCAAGACAAUUGGCUGAAUCCCGUGAAACCAUUUCAUAGAAGUUCAUUGAUAUCUUCUUUUUAUAAAGCACAUAUACGAAGUUGUCCUUAGUGUUUGUCCUUAGUGUGUUCCCAUCUAACUAUGUUAUAUUUGGAGACCAUUUUACGGGGGGGCAUUGGGUCGUCUAUUUCAUGUAAUGUGUCAGGCAAAAUCCCUAACCGCUGAAUGGGUAAGUCACUGAAACCGUGACCUGCAAGGGUUUUGUUUUAACCAUGAUAGCCCAGCCCACUUAAGUUAUUAUCUGCGGACCACCGUAAGGUCGGAAGGAAGAGGAAAGUCCUGGAUAGGCUUUCUCUUAGGUCAUGAAGAACCAGCACUUAUAGACUUAUCCCGCUUGGCGGGGCACCUAUAGAAACGAAGCCUUGUUUUGUUAAUCUUAAUCCGAACCAGUUGACCUUACACAUAAUAGGUAUAUCCUCUAGAAGGUUAACUCUUCUAGGUAGCUGGACUCUGCUUCUCUUUCCAGAUAGAUAAAAUAAAUCAAUAAGUCAAUUUGGUUACUAAGCAAUAAUCUCGUCUAUCGUUGUUGGUAAAGUAGGCUGUACGCAUAAAAACUAAAAGGUUACCUAAAUGUAGAAAGUAAUUACCUUUAAAAAACUACAUCACUCAUUAUCGAGACCAACAAGCGACAAGUUCUUAAGAACAAAUCCGUCAAGUAUGGUAGGUAUGUAUCACAAAACUAGAUUCUAAAUUUAAGAAGAUACAAAGUCGUCAUCGUAUAACAAGGUACCUCGAUUCCAGGUUUUAUACCUUCUUUGUCCACAAAGGUGCUGAGAUGGUGGGUCAGUUAAGGCAAGGUGAAUUAGGGAUAAAGUACCGGUGUAUAGAAAGGCCGAUUCAUUACCCUUUGGAAAGAGGACAAUGUACUUAGGUUAAAAGUAAAGUAGGCCCUUUUCGGUAGAAAAAGAGUUGUUACAGAAACAGUAAACUAGGUUAUCGCAAGGCAAUCUAUCCUUGUCUAAACUAUUUAUGACUAUUGAGAGCCUACCUCAUAAUCUUGCCUUUUUAGGUAAUCUAUUACUUGAUAACCAAGAUUCGGUAGAGACCGCUACUUAGUUGUUAAGCUUCACGAAAAGAACGCAUAAGAACUAUUUGGUCGCAAAUAUAUAUCUACAUCCUCCUAGGCAAACCCUUCAUUCUUCGGGGAAACUGUAGAGAAGUAGACGUUUCUUAAGAGCUACACUUUUGUGUCUCUGUUUCCCGACUAGAAACUUAUCCUUUUUCUCACCUAGGCGUCCCAGGGUUUACUUAACCGAAUAAGCUUUUUUCGGAACAAGAAACCUUCUAGAUAGAGCACAGACCAUGACGUGCCAAGGUGAGACGUUCUUGAGGCUUAGUAAGCGAACUUCGAGUAGGAAAAGUAGUAUUUACUAGGCGAACGGGGCUUUACUGGACCGGGUUAUCCCUUUAGGGUUAAGUAACCCGGAAAGCUAUGUUAGUUUAUCUUUCGGGGUUCCCGCGGUAUAAGAUCCUCGGGUUUGAUACACUAACUUAUUUAGGAGGAGAUAGACAACGCCCAGCUCCUGAGGAAGAGGAAGGGGAAGAAGUUUGAGGCUAAGCAUAAAAAGUAUCUCUUUAGAGACUAGUUGCUAUCUUGUUCUAGGUAAAACGUAGUAUAUAUUCCCUAAGGAACCAAGCCUGGCUUCUUCGUUACAGUGAGCUAGUAAUAGUUUGACUGACGUUAGAAAAAGACAGGCACUCCUAGGGUGGUCUCGCGGAAGAUGAAGAUUAUCCGGUACUUGAUCUAGUCUUAGUAAGAGUUGCUUAGGUAUUCUUCACUAGGGUAAAAAAAGUAGCCCAGGCCCAUCUCUGGUUUCCAGAACUCGCUGGCUAGGCCGUCUUGUUGAGUUUUCUAUUUCUUCAUAGCAAUUAAAGAAGUACGAGCAAGGUUCAAGCUUCAUGGUAAACAUGUUUAUUCUUAGGGGAAGCAAUGUACUAAAGAAGAAGUAUAUCUAUCUAUAUCCUAGAUACCCCGUUAAUGAAUCUUCAUGUAAAACACGUUGUCGGGAAGGAUAGACUAUCUUUUCCUAGGGUACUAGGACUUGGCUAGAAUGGACCCUAGCGUUUAGGGUUCAAACAGAUACUUCUCGUCUAGAUUAACAUAAUCACAGAUAUUAACUAAAGAAGACACAUUAUGAUUAGCUAUCCCGGAGUAACCAUUCACGAUGUUCUAGAGCACGUAACCUUGGGUACCAAUACCUGAGCUUAGGUAAUCAUACCUUGUAAAAGAAAAGGUUCACUUUAGGGGAUCAUAUACUUUCUCACUUUUUCACGAAAGCAACAACACCUUAUUCUUCGGAAGCAUAGAAUUACGUACAUAAAUUAAAUAAGCCCCGAUAAUCUCGCCCUAGGUGAAAAAACCCUUAUACUCAGCUUCGUUAUUGUUCUUAUAAAGAUCACCUUGUAGAAAGUGUUAGGGACCUCUCUCUCAAGUGAUUAUCUGGCUCCCUAUUCAUUAAGCUGAGUAAGUGUAGGUCUAGUACUUACAAACCUUAGGUAUAAUACGUUCCUCUGUAACGAAAACGAUUAAGCUUAACUUCCCACUAUAUUUUAGCCAGAUAAAGGCUGUAGUAUAGGUAUCAAUCGCGUAAGUAGUAUCAAUCUUCGAGGUCGAGGCAUAGUUCAAGUGCUAGCUAUAGCAGUGAUAGUAGUUAUAGCAAUGAUCGUAGUUAUAGCAGUGAUCGUAGUUAUAGCAGUGAUCGUAGUUAUAGCUAUAGUAGUUAUUUUUUUGGAAAUCCGAACAAUAGGUCCUUGAACAAGUCUUUAUGACAUUACUUUCCUUGUAUCCUCAAACAGCGAUCCAUAAACUGGUUUAUCCUAGCAGGCCAAGGAUAUCUUGGAUAGUGAUUUUAUGGGGAUCUCCCCCUAUCCCGAUUCGCCUCGCUUUUCCCAAAAGGUACUCUGCCCUUUACUUUUGAUAAUCGGGGUGUGCUUCAAACACUUAUUCACUAACAGACUAUUACUCGUUCCUUAUAGGCAGAAAGAUGAUUUGUCCUACAUAACUUGAGUAUUAAGUAAUCUAUGAAAAAUACUUACAGUUGAUUCAUAGCAUUCAUUUAACAAGGGCCAACAAGUUAGUAAACUAUUGGUCUCAGUAAGAAACUAUUUACUAGUGAUACUCAGUCUGAGUUAUCUUAAACUAGUUAGGAAAAAAGACGGCAAUUCCACCUCUUGACUUGGUUCUUAAGAGAAAGAAAUAGUAGUUAGCUUAGUGACAAGCGCUGGGUCCUAAGAUAAAAUAGUAGUUAGGUUAGUGGCGAGUGCAAAAAAGAAAAAGAAUAGUUACUUAUCUAGAGAAAUGAACAUACUGAAUCUACAGAGCAUAAAGAGCUUUUUCACUAAGCUAACUACCCUAAACCAUACUAUGAAUACUCUAGCUACUAUAGCUACUUUAACUAUAAGUUUAUAAAGAAGAAUCUUGCAUAACUAAACUGGGGUAUUCGCCCUAGUGAUGGGGUAUCGUACAACGGCGGUCUUGGGGCAUAAAGAAGAUCUCUUAGAGGAUUAACAAGGUCUCGUUGAUCUUUCUCUAAGAAAUUGGUCUUUCUUAAGUCAAGUCUACAUCCUAUGGAUAGGUCUUCAAAAGCGUUGAGUUAGUACAUACUACCUUAGUAGUUUCUAAACUGGAAAAGCUUGAGACAGACAUUGAGUGAUAUCCGAGCCCUUUGUUUCUCUUCUACACAUGCUUGCUCUAUAGGUCGUUGUUCUUCUUCCUUUUCCUAACUUAUCUCCUUGAGGGCUUGUAAACCGCUAGAGUCUACACAGCUAUAGUUACCACUGAGUAAUAAAGCUACUUAGUAAAGAAGCCUGUCCUCUUCUAAUACAUUUGUGAAUGAGCUUUAGAGUGAAUAGUCUAAGGUAACACCUUCUGUGGUAAAAAAGACUUCUUAAGCGGUACUAUAUAGACUAGGUACGUAUUAUAGUACUUUUUACCUAUGUUUAAAAACUGACGAUGAAUCAUAGCCGUUAUCCAGACUUUUUCAUAGAUUUUUAUAGUUUAAAUCUAUAAACAUGGGACAGCUUCAUUCCUUGGUACCGUAUAUACAAACCUGAUCUAAGGUAAAACUCUCUCAACUUUUUCGUGAUAGAGCAACUUUCCAAGAUAGGUAGACGGGAAAGAGUUGUGUAAAGAAAUCUGUUUCUGAGGCAAAAAAGGAGAAAAGCCUACCAUUUAUAAAGAGUCUUGUACCUCACACUUAGUUUGGGUACAAACUUAACUUUAACUCUAUGACUACGUUCAAGAAGAGAAGACUUAGUCUAUCUAAGUAUAGACUUUCUCCAACUGUUAUUCAAGAAAGUUUUAACUGAUAAACAGGGAGACAAUCUCCACAAGGUCUUUACAGACGUUAGCUCAUUUAUCGAGAUGCUUGAUUACCUAGCCUAGCUUAACGUUUUACCUUUCUAAACAUGUUCAAUAUGGAAAGCAGUGGUGAAACACCUUUUAGCAAUCUAUACUUAUACAAUCUAUGGACACUGAGCUAACCACUUCCACUUUAUCAUAGAGAGAGGUUUUUUCGUACAAAAAAAAAUGGUGGCGUGUUUCUUUUAUAAAACAACGCUUACUUGUUCUAUAACUCCUUAACAGGUAUGCAUUUUAGUAUUAAUAACUAUGCCCGGAAAAGGUGUAUUUUUCCCUUAGAAAACAAUGUUAUCUUCGUCUUCACUACACCUAAUAAGUUCUUAGCUUCAGCUAANCCUAAUCCCCACACCCCCGCCCCCCCCUCUCUCUCUCUCUCUCUACUCACCUCUUCUGAACAGGGAUAUUAGAAGGGAAAAAUUCAUAGAGUCCCCUAUAGGAGACUGAAAUUUCAUCAAUAGCCCUCCAAAAUUCUAAAUAUCAUGAAUGCCCUUCUAAAUCUAACGGAAUAAGGUGUAAAUACCAUUUCUACCCUUGCACUGCACUGCUCCUUAACUAUAUGAUAGUUUUAUAGAUGCCCUUCUAGAAUCUGUUAAUUUCAUCAAUACCUUUCUAAAAUUGAUAAUUUCACGAAUACUCUCCAACAUAUUAAAAAUUAUCACAAAUGCCCUCCACUAGUUAAUAUCCGUUAAAAUCAUCUGAAAUAGAGUUAAAUUUUUAAAAUAUCAUUUUUACCCUUUAUCUCUUAUCAAUAAUAGAAACAAUAAAAGGUAUUUCAAGAUAAUUUUUGUAAAUCUAAAUUUGACUAUUUAAUAUAUAAAUAUUAAAUUAAUUUUUAAAUGAUAUAUAAAAAUUGUAUUUUAUAUAUAGUAUGUUUUUAUAUAAUUUUGGUUUUGUUUUUGGCUUCGGGUUUUGCUUCAGAUUCGAUUUGGAUAUAGACCAAAAUCAUAACUAAAUUUAAAUACGAUGAGAGUUCAUUUUUUUGUACUUAUAAUUGAAACUAUCCCACUCAGCAUCAAUUAAGCUGGUGCCCAUUCAAAAUUAAGUUCAGAUAAAAUUGUAUACCUGUAUCAUUUCACAUUCUUAAUCAGUAAUAGUAAUUUGAAAUAAAUUAUAGAUUUUUAUGUUUUUCCUAUUUAAUCAAAAAUAAAUCACAUAACUAUAUCAAUAUGCAUGCUUUUUUUAUCGAUUUUAAAAAAAAAGAGAGUUUUGUUCAAAAGCUUAAAUAUAUUAUAUUUCAGUUUUUAAUGCAUUUAAUGUAGAUAAAAUUAUUGAGAAUAAUUUAAGCUUCCAAGAUUAAAGAAAGAUCGAAAAAUCCUCAACAUUUAUUUUUAUUUAAUUUUUUAUACAUAGUUAAAAUAAAUGGAGCCACUAGAUUUGGUGAAAUCAUAAAAACCUUGAUAAAAUUUUUAUUUUUCAUACACUAAAAUUAGUUAAUUUUGUAAAAAACUAAAAGUUAAUGGGAUGUUAACUAAAAAAAUAAAAGUUGAGGGAGCCGUUUCAAAACGGCAAAUAGUUGAGGGGUCUCCAUACAUUUUUAUUGGAAAAGUCUAGAUGGACUCCCGGUUGAAGGUGUACAUCCUACACCUUUGGGAUCCGACGGCUGAUAUUUAGGCACUACACAUUUAUUUUAUUUUUUUUCAAAAGCAUAAUUUUUUCAGCCUUUAGAUAAGUGGGUUGUAGGAUGUACAACCCUAAGUGGGUUGUACCAGUAGCACCACUCAUUUUUAUUAAAGAGAUAGUUGAGGGUAAAUAGGUCAUUUUAAAAGUUAACCCAUCUUUAACCAUUUAACAACUAUGGUAAAGGUAAUAUAACUAACGGUAGGGAUAUUGGUGAUACUUUUUUAUAUUUAUAGGGGCAUAUAUGAUAUUUUAAAC
rnacentral:lncRNA from 1 species